UUUCUAGGCUUUCAAAACACAAGAUGGAUACAUUGUAGUAGGAGCAGGAAAUAAUCAACAGUUUGCUACUGUUUGCAAGAUUCUCAGUUUGCCUGAAAUUAUUCAUGACCCCAAAUACAAAAAUAACCAGCAGCGAGUGGUAAAUAGGAAAGAACUUAUUGGAAUAUUGUCAGCCAGGUUCUUGGAAGAAGAAACCUCCAAAUGGCUAGAACAUUUUGAGGGCAGUGGAGUUCCAUAUGGCCCAAUCAACAGCAUGAAGCAGGUGUUCUCAGAUCCUCAGGUUCUGCACAAUAAACUUAUGAUGGAGAUGGAGCAUCCAACAGUAGGGAAGAUUACUGUUCCAGGUUGGCACAUUUUCUUAAGAUUGAUAUUACUCACCAAAAUAAAACAUUUUGCAUGGGCUUCAAUGAGAUUCUGUGGCUGCAUUUGUACACUAUAUUAAACCAUGAAUCAAUAAACUAAUUGGUGAUACACUGGAUUCAUCAAGAUUAAAUUAGCAUAGUGAGUGAAUGAAGCUGCUAGGUCUUUAUCAUAUAUGAUUAAGAAUAUUGCAUGAGUCCAGUUUAUAUAUGUAAUUUCCAAAGCUAAAGAUCUAUCUAGCAUUCAGAUUUCGGAGACAGCCGCAGACACAGUGCAGACAAUUCUGGGUGGCACUUAAAACUGGA